rnacentral:rRNA from 1 species
CUCCGGUUGAUCCUGCCGGACCUGACUGCUAUCGGAUUGGUACUAAGCCAUGCGAGUCAUUGUAGCAAUACAAGGCGGACGGCUCAGUAACACGUAGUCAACCUAACUCGUGGACGUGGAUAACCUCGGGAAACUGAGAAUAAACCACGAUAGAUCAUAGUGCCUGGAAUGGCUUAUGGUCCAAACAGUUUACUGCCAUGGGAUGGGACUGCGGCCUAUCAGCUUGUUGGUGAGGUAAUGGCCCACCAAGGCGAUUACAGGUACGGGCUCUGAGAGGAGAAGCCCGGAGAUGGGUACUGAGACACGGACCCAGGCCCUAUGGGGCGCAGCAGGCGAGAAACCUUAGCAAUGUGCGAAAGCACGACUGGGUCAGUCCGAGUGAUUCCUGAUAAAGGAGUCUUUUGCUUGUCCUAAAAGCACAGGUGAAUAAGGGGUGGGCAAGUCUGGUGUCAGCCGCCGCGGUAAUACCAGCACCUCGAGUGGUCAGGACGUUUAUUGGGCCUAAAGCAUCCGUAGCCGGCUCUGCAAGUCUUCGGUUAAAUCCACCUGCUCAACAGAUGGGCUGCUGGAGAUACUACAGAGCUAGGGAGUGGGAGAGGCAGACGGUAUUCAGUGGGUAGGGGUAAAAUCCUUUGAUCCAUUGAAGACCACCAGUGGCGAAGGCGGCUUGCCAGAACGCGCUCGACGGUGAGGGAUGAAAGCUGGGGGAGCAAACCGGAUUAGAUACCCGGGUAGUCCCAGCUGUAAACGAUGCAAACUCGGUGAUGCAUUGGCUUAUGGCCAAUGCAGUGCCGCAGGGAAGCCGUUAAGUUUGCCGCCUGGGAAGUACGGACGCAAGUCUGAAACUUAAAGGAAUUGGGGGGGGACACA